rnacentral:tRNA from 1 species
GAAAAGAUAAGCUAAGUUUAAGCUUAUGGGCUCAUACCCCAUCUAUGAAAAUAUAUUUCUCUUUUUA